CAAACUUUGUUGCGAACAACAUUAAUAGGAGUUGGCCCCAAGAUCUGUAUGAGAAGGUUGCCAGAAUCAUAUGAGUCUGAGAACAUAGUUUCUUCUCCAACAGUUUUGUAGUUGUUGUGUGCUUUCAGUUAUAGGUAUAUCUACUGAAAAGAUGGUUACAAAUUGGUAGCCACGUUGAGCAGCUUGGAUGGAAUGAAAUGGUUGGGUGAGCUACCCAAAUCUGUGUGGUAAUUCUCUUUUAUAUUCUAGUUAUCAGACUUUGUAUGCAUAAUUAUUUUUUGUAUAUUUAUGGUAGCUUUUUGAA